rnacentral:tRNA from 1 species
GGUCCUUUAGCUCAGUUGGUAGAGCAUUCUGUUUGCAAAGCAAGGGUUGUGGGUUCGAUUCCCGGGACCA